CUCACUUCUUGAGUGUGCUGUGCACAGCAUGGCUCAGUUUUUGACAGCAUUAUGAUUGAAAUUUUGUGUCGUCUAUAACAACACCCAGUGCAGAAGAUGAGAAGAUGAUCUGAGCCAUAUCAAACACUCCAGUAUGAGUGUGAAGCUUGUGUAACUUACCUUCACUUAGGAUUGGAAUUCAGAGACAUAGUAACUGAAAAAUAACGGGACAGUCAUUAAAUUUUGAGCAGAACUGCCUCCCUGCAUGGCAAGAUGGAAGAAUCUAUAAGGAUGAAGAUCUAAAAGCAGCUGUAGUCAAGGCUAAUCUUAACUUCAUUGGUUAAGCUGUGCUCCUGCAUGGAUACUUGUGCUUGGACAAAAAACAGUAGAGACAAGCAGCUAAUGAUGGAGAAAAUGGUGAGACUGCUUUUUUCUUUGUCAGGGCAGUGCUGGCUUAAAGUCACCUUGUAGCUAUCACUGUAGAGCAGAAACCAUAUCAGGGUCCAAUCAUCUUUUCAGCUACUCACGUGCAAUUCUGUUAACUUCAACAGGAGGUUUAUAUGUAGAACUGAUUGGACAACUGGGUCUUAAGAUUAAUACAGUGAGCUUUGCUUACAUCAACAGGAUUAUAAAUUCACCAGAUCUGGAGUCAGGAAGGAAUUUCCCUCACAAACAUAAUGUCAUCAACAUAAUCACAGCAAGGGAACAAUCUGUUAGUGCACAGAGAAGGAAUUAUGUUGGGACCAGGUGGGUGUAUCUACACAGUCACUUUCUUUCAGUUCUAACGGACACAUAUUUGGGGACUGUAAUCUUCCUGGGUUUUCUUCCCCACCCCAAUCCCAAGGAGCCACUCAGAGGACGGUCAUGCAGAAGGGCAAAAAAAUCACUGACACUCUAUGUUAGAGGAUUACUAUGUGCAGUUAACUAACUGGUGAGUAAAUUAAGGUCAGUAGAAGUAUUUCAGAAAAGAAUAACCAAAAAAACACCUUAUUUUUCGGAUUGUUUUGAGUGCAGCUCUCUUCCUAAAGAGACACUUAUAAAUAGGACGUGAAAAAAAUUACAGAAAUAAGAAGACUGUUAGGAAUUGAUCCACCCUGGAUUACGUUUGAAUCCACUCAGUGAAAUUCUCCAUCUUUAUUUCUAUAUGUCUGAUUGUAUGUAACUUCACUUUUUUCAAAAAUAACUGAUGAAUCAAGAGAGAAGACUAAAUAGCAAAAGAAGGCAUUUGUAAAAUCUGUGUACAAAAUAAAGCACAGUGGACUGGGUCAGAAUGUAUCUGCUUCUGGCUGUCUCACUUUGAACAUAAUAUGGGAACAGGUGUCUGUUUUAUUACAAGGAUUACCACAGAGCUCACUCACUCUGAGGAAGGGCACUAUAAGAUUUAAGUGAUAUGACCUACACAGAAAGGAAGAACAACAGCAGAAUUGGGUGAUCUUAGGUGCAAACGACAGGGGAGGAGAAGGGGAAAAUAGCAAAUUAUGAAAUUAUAUUUUUACCUGUUUGUAAUAUAGUUUGGACCAGUUACCUGACACCCCACAGAUGUUAGGUUUGUUUCCUUUUCACCUAGCUUUGAAAUAUCCCACACAAGAGGACAUUUUAGCUUUUCAGGUGUGAAUGGAAUACAUUUGUACAGAAUAAAAAGUUACCUAGCAGCUAUCCUGUAAACAUGGUAUUAUCAUCCUUCUGAGAAUAAUUCCAAAUUCUUGCUUCAGCAGAGGGAUGUUGGAAGCUUCUGCCCUGGUUUCUGUACCAGUUCCUUUCAGCACUGCUUUUCCCACUCUGUGGUGGCAUGCUCUCUGAACUGUACUUUCUCAGAAAUCAGGAUAUGAGCCAACUUCAUGCUGCUCUUGCACAGAAUGGAACAAACGAGAAAUAACACAUAAGGCAGAGGAAGGAAAAAAAAUAAACAAAACCAGUGGGUGGUGGAAAAAGGAAAAAGAACAAUGUAGUGAAAGGAAAUUCCCAAUUAAAGGCCAGUUCUCAUUAAUAUGCAAGUCCAGCCUUCUCGUCUUCUCGCCUUUCAUGGUUGUCUCUUGUUCCUUCAGUUCCCACCCCCAUUCCACAUUUCUUGAAGUGUGAUACAUUUGUGUAGGCACACAAACAAUGUGUCUGUCCUUCUCUUGAUCACUUAAAGAAUUUUCUGGCUACCAGUGUGGUUUUUUUUUCUCCCUCUAGUACAUAAACAAAGCAAAGAGGACAAUUCUCAGCUUGCUUUUGAGCAACACAGACAACAAAUUUACAGAGAGGAAGUAUUGAGCAACAGUAACUAAUAAGCUGGGUUUGCUUUUAACAUCAGGACUGUUGGCUCAUCACUGCUUAAGUAUAAUCAGUUAACAUUAACUGGAGCAAUGCACACGUUAAAGAAAAAAAAAAUGAACUUGUUUCCUCAGUAGUGUAACGAGAAAAAAAAAAUAGCAGGAAACAUGAGAUUUCCAGGAUAAAACAGUUCAGAAAUUCCUGAAUUUAGAUUCCUGGCUCAUUCACUGUUUCACUUGUGCUCCUCCUAAAGCAAAUUACAUGACUCACCUGACUCAUUUUCUUCAUCUAUAAAAUGGCACAGUGUAUGCCAGCUGCAGAGGGUUAACAUCAGUAGAGAAUUCUUGUUUAUCAAGUUAAUUGGUAUUACUAAUAAAACAAGAAAUAUAGAAAGGACAAAGCAGGCCAGUUUAACACUAAUUCAAGAUGAAAUUAAAGACUUACCUAUGCCCAGAAAUAGCUGCAUCAACCCAGAUAUGUAUUGUACAUUAUCUAAAAUAGGGCAUGAACUGGCAUGACUUAACUCAGAUUUGAAAUAGGAUUAAAACACUGUGCAAUAUGUUUAUGAUAAAAUUUCUUCUGGUGUUGAAGUACCCAGAUUUCCAGAAUGACUUGUUCUAGCUAUCCCAGUUACUUCCAGCAGGCUCCCAAACAUUCAGGUAAAAUUCCUCCAGUUUCCUAGGUCUUUGUCUUCAAUUUUUGAAAUUUCUCCUGUUUCCCAGCUCUUUACUCAGCUUUCCCUUCUCAUCUCAACCUUCCUCCUCUCUCUGUUCCAAUCUAUUACCCCUUUUUCCCCCUGUAUUUAAUUGGAUGGUUUCUUCCUUCAUGCUGAUUAAAGGUCAGCAAGGGAAAAGAGGAUCACUGAAAGAUUAGUGGCUGCUCUCAGUUUUCUGAUCAAACACAACACAAGCAAUUACAGGGAAAGUUCUUCAGCAGUGAUAACACAACAUAAGCAAUUACAGGGAAACUUGUUCAGCAGUGAUGCAGUGGUGGUUUGGACUCAUGCCUACUAUUCCUCAUGCGUACCACAUUCUCUCUGAAUGGCAGCUCUGCAGUCUGGUCAUGCAUGUGAGAGAUUUAUGUUACGUGAUUGUGGAAUAUUUUGAGACUUAAGUAUUAAAUUCUCACAUGUCUUUAUCC